GCCAGGUGUGGUGGCCAUUCCUGUGAUCCCAGCGACUUUGGAGGCUGAGGCAGGAGGAGCUCGAUGUUGAGGCCAGCCUCGACCAUUUAGCAAGGCCCUGCCUCAA
rnacentral:sRNA from 1 species